GCCCUUGUAAUAUAGACUAAUAUACCGGUCUUGUAAACCGGAGACGGAUACCUUCCCCAGGGCA
rnacentral:tRNA from 1 species